UUUAAGUUCAGAUGUGAAAGACCCGGGGCGUCAACCUCGGAACUGCAUUUGUAAACUAGGCAGACUAGAGUACUGUAGAGGGGGGUAGGAAUUUCUAGGUGUAGCGGUGAAAUAGCGUAGAGAUCUGAAGGAAUACCGGUGGCGAAGGCGGCCCCCUCGGACAGAUACUGACACUCAGAUGCGAAAGCGUGGGGAGCAAACAGGAUUAGAUACCCUGGUAA
rnacentral:rRNA from 1 species